UGUAGGUUGCAUCGGGGGGAAACGUUCCCGUUUCCUUCGGGACUACUUACAAGGUGCUGCAUGGUUGUCGUCAGCUCGUGCCGUGAGGUGUCGGGUUAAGUCCCAUAACGAGCGCAACCCCUAUCGUUAGUUGCCAGCAAGUAAAGUUGGGGACUCUAGCGAGACUGCCGGUGUAAACCGUGAGGAAGGUGGGGAUGACGUCAAAUCAGCACGGCCCUUAUAUCCAGGGCUACACACAUGUUACAAUGGUCGGUACAAAGAGCAGCCACUUGGUGACAAGGCGCUAAUCUCAAAAGCCGAUCUCAGUUCGGAUCGAAGUCUGCAACUCGACUUCGUGAAGUUGGAUUCGCUAGUAAUCGCGCCAUCCAGCCAUGGCGCGGUGAAUACGUUCCCGGGCCUU
rnacentral:rRNA from 1 species